rnacentral:rRNA from 1 species
UACGGAGGGGGCUAGCGUUGUUCGGAAUUACUGGGCGUAAAGCGUGCGCAGGCGGUUUUGUAAGUCAGAUGUGAAAUCCCCGGGCUUAACCUGGGAACUGCGUUUGAAACUACAAGGCUAGAGUGUGGCAGAGGGGGGUGGAAUUCCACGUGUAGCAGUGAAAUGCGUAGAGAUGUGGAAGAACACCGAUGGCGAAGGCAGCCCCCUGGGUUAACACUGACGCUCAGGCACGAAAGCGUGGGGAGCAAACAGG